ensembl:snoRNA Y71G12B.41 ncRNA
GCGCUGGUUCUUCCACUUUUGGCAGUUGUUGUACCUGCUUUGGUGUUCUGCCACGACUGUAACAAAUUCAAUUUAGUCCUAUAGUUGCCGCCUAGUUGUGUGACCUUGCCCGUCGCAAUCGACUUGAAGUCUUGUGGUAGACGUAGAGAAUGAAGCACGUGACACAACACAUUAAAAGCAUACUUGCAGCUAGGCAAGCGAUGAUUAUUUCCGCUACUGUAGAACCAAAAUUGACUUUCAGUUUCAUGUCUCACCACUUACCAGCCAU